UACGUAGGCAGCAAGCGUUGUUCGGAGUUACUGGGCGUAAAGGGUGCGUAGGCGGGUCUUUAAGUCAGGGGUGAAAUCCUGGAGCUCAACUCCAGAACUGCCUUUGAUACUGAGGAUCUUGAGUUCGGGAGAGGUGAGUGGAACUGCGAGUGUAGAGGUGAAAUUCGUAGAUAUUCGCAAGAACACCAGUGGCGAAGGCGGACUCACUGGCCCGGUACUGACGCUGAGGUGCGAAAGCGUGGGGAGCAAACAGG
rnacentral:rRNA from 1 species